UUUCAUGCAAGGAAAACCAACAAAUGAAUUCCCUGAUCCUGAACUCGACCUGGGGAACACUUCCAUGAUACUGCAAGCAGCACAGGAUACAUUUCUUGGCGUCUGAAAGCAAUCCAACGAAAGAUUUGUCGAGGAUCUGCACCAUCACUAAAUAGCCCUAUGGACACUUCUCCCAAAUGUCCAACGAGCUGUUAAUGUAGAAAGGCAGCUGGAUGGGGAUGCUUGCCAAGAGGCCAUGUCUUUGCUCAACCAUACCACAGACAAUUCCCUGAUUUUUCAGAAAAUGAGAGAAACCUUUCAGCACCGUCAGAAGCUUGUUAAUGACCCAAGCAGAGGUGGAUCAAGACUUCACCCUCCUAUUUGAUCAUGAAACAUCCUCCAGGCCCCUUCAGAAAUGGGAUGUGUUCUUCAGUUCAAAUGUCAUAAAAGAGGCUAAGCGGCUUACUUCAACACCCAGAGUUGCGUCGCUUGUUGCAGAGAGUCCCACAGGAAGUGAUCUUGAUGAGACAACAAUCAUGCUGCAGUUUGGAGGAGCAUCUCCGCAACCAGCAGGGUCGGCAGCCAUACCUCCUCGCUGUUGGGCAUCAGAAGAGCAAGAUUGACAGCUUCUACAUCACCAUGGAUAAGCAUCUCAUCCCACGCCAGGCAAACCGCUCCCUACCUUGGGGCUUUCGACAAAUUUUCCAAAACCCAUUUUGUGUUUAAUUUGUCGUACGAUGCUGCGUUACUGAAUUUUUACACAUUCUUGCAGACAACAGUGUAUAACAUUGAUGUGGGGAAAAUGAAGGAGUCACCCAGAGUCAGAGACUUGCCAGACUCCUUGACCAGCUAGUACCGGUCUCUCUCUCUCUGAGUAGGAGGCUAAAACAAUACUGACCGGUUUCAUGUGUCAGAAGAAGUUGAUGGUGCUAUACUGGAACCGUUGAUAAAUGAUAUAAAAUUACUGGAAACCCAAGGCCUUAGUCUUAGUAGUGUUUGAUUGAGAGGAAUGAUUCUCAAACAGUAUACAGUGAGGAAGAUCCCAAAGUGAUCCUUCGUGCAAAAAAUAUGUUUAUGCAUUACAAAUGUCUCCAAGACAACCCACAAUUGAACUCUGUAUGGUUUGAAAAAGACUUCUACAAUUAACUCAUUGAAGUAUUUCCAUGUUUGAAAUAAUUACUCAUUUGAUAUAAUGCAUGAACUUCUUGAGGGUGUGACUCAGUGUGAGAUCAAAUUGCUUUUUGAAUAUCUCACAAAAGACUUAAUAUCACAACAGAACUUGCUUUCCAGGAUUUAUGGUUUUAACUACGGAUCUGUAGAACGAAAGAAACGUCCCACAAAGAUAAUUUUGGACAGUGCUGGCAAUGGCAUUGGUUUGAAUUCUAUUCAGUCGUGUGAAAAACAUCCCACUGUUGUUUGGUGACAUUAUUCCCGCAGGAAACGAAAACUGGAAUGUGUUACUGUUAUUUAAAAUAAUGAACAUGAUUGUGUCACUUUCUCGCUCUAGGUACGACAAUAUAUUUAAAGCAUUUGAUUGUUGACCACCACAAACUAUUUAAGCACUUGUAUCCACAUAGAAACUUGCUACCUAAGCAUCCUUUCAUGACCCACUGUAUAUGUGGUCUAUGAGGUGUGAAGCCAAAGACAAGAUGUUUAAAGAUUAUUUCAAAAACAUAACAAAAUCACUUGCUAAAAAGCAUCAGAUGGCUAUUGCUUAUCACUGGGAAACCUUCACCCUUAAAUAUAAAAAGAGUAUGGCCCAAUUAAGACUUAUUCCCUCAGAGAUGUGAAUGUGGUCAACAAUGAAAUGCUUGAAAUUAUUUGGUUUUGGGUUAAAGUUGAUGGUGUAGAAUAUACAUGUGGACUUGUUUGUCUUUUGUCAAAUAUGUGAUGUACUUUUGGUUGAAGGUAACACAUGAAUAUUAAAGUCACCUACGAUAAUUACUUUCUGUUUUAAGGACUAAAUUCUGAGAAGUCAGAUAUAAAU